rnacentral:lncRNA from 1 species
AAAGAACCACAACAUUCUCACUGCCUAUAGAUUACAGACAGUACUGAACUGAAAAGUACUUACUUUUCUAGGCUUUUAGAAAAAAAUGUUAGUAACCCAUAUCAGACCAGGGCCACAAUACCGGAACAGAAAGUCUAUUUUUCUUCGGGGUCACUAUCAAUAAGCAUUAAGGAUCAGAGGAUACCAGGGUCGUAUUCUAAAGAACAGUAUGAAAUAUGGGAGAAGUCAAAGUGAAGGAUGUACAGCAACUAGGUAGCUGUCCAUAGCUUGAUAUUCGCUAUUGGUCUUGUUUAAGCCAUUGGGGACAUUUUUCUUCCUGGUGGGAAUUAUAAGCCCGGCACAUACUAGGAGAGUCAUAAAAUCCCCUCUGGUAUCUUUAAUCAAUCAUGACUAGUAUAUCUUCCAUACAUUCUCCAAGUUUAAAAUAGAAUAAAGUCACAUAAUAAUCUUUCUCCCAGCAGCUAGACUGCCUUU